rnacentral:lncRNA from 1 species
CUGUCAACCCUGAUUAGAUCAUCCGAAUCAUGCUCAAUUCAAACAGUCCUGUGACUCCUCACUAGGACUACCCUGACCAAGUUUUUGCUAAAUUGAAAUAUGACUGUACACAGCUCCUGAACUGGAGUAGUCAAUCCCAUCUUGACACAUGCACCGACAAGUCAAGUACUUGACUACACCCAGCAGCCUUCCAUCACUGAAUUAGAAAUUCAGAUAGUUCAGUGCCUAAGUACAGUGAGUUGCUUGCAAAUCACCGUGGUGG